GAGGACGAAUCAUGUCUUGUUCUUAGAAGCCUCCUGGUGAAGUGGCUCUUCAUUUCUGUCAUUCAGCACGAUUCUUUAGAUGUCUGAUUUGAACAAGUAGAAAUAUCCUCACAUUUGAGAACAAUGAUAGAUGACCAGCACUAGAAUCUUAGCUGUUGGACAUUUCAUUUGUGUGGAUGCAGAAUAUAGCACAGAUUUACUAAGGAAAAGAAUUUCCUAUGCCAGAAGCUAAAAGGCAUCAGAAGACUCAAAUGGUUUUUAAAAGAAGAUAGUUUGAGGAAGUCAAUUUCAAUUGCCCUGCAUUGGAGAAAUCAUUAUUCUAUGUAGCAGAGGGAGAUCUAUGUGCACGGUUUUGAAGACCCAAUAUGACUAUUUUAGGCAUCAACUCUUCCUUAGAAAUUGUUAGUUUGGAGGGAUCGAAUUACAGAGAUUACUUCAUAUUUGGGAAAGAAAACAAAACAACCAAAAAUGCUAUUGCUAAAUGUACUUGCUGGAGUCCUUUGAAGACUUUGAAAGGUAGAAACCUAUUUCUUUUGAGAGGUUAUACUUUUACCAGAUCAUUUUAUUUGACUAUGUGUUUUUAAAAUUUAUGACCCCUGCAUCUAAGGAUCUGGUCUUCAUGGCAACAUGAAGAAGAAACAUGCAUGGAUGCACUGCUGCAUUUUGGGGCUUUUCUUUCCUAGUAAAACACACUGCACUUGGUUGAGAGACAGCCUUUGAAAUCUGGGCCCAGGAAGAAAUACAGUAUGAUCACCCGAGAGGAAAUGUUCUCUGGGUUCACGCACCAUUUGUUUCAAAAAAUGCUUACUUAAAGUCCAUGUGCUGAAUUUCUGUUUCUGUGCUGUGAGCUAUUGUUACCUCACUAAAGAGAAAAACGAAUUUUGACAGUGAGGAUACUGUGCAAACCUUUUUCAUAAGUAAUCAGGAUAGCUUACAGCCAUUUUGGAUUCACACCCUCUUUGGGUUUGAUCUUUG